rnacentral:rRNA from 1 species
GAUGAACGCUGGCGGCGUGCCUAAUACAUGCAAGUCGAGCGAACAGACGAGGAGCUUGCUCCUCUGACGUUAGCGGCGGACGGGUGAGUAACACGUGGAUAACCUACCUAUAAGACUGGGAUAACUUCGGGAAACCGGAGCUAAUACCGGAUAAUAUAUUGAACCGCAUGGUUCAAUAGUGAAAGACGGUUUUGCUGUCACUUAUAGAUGGAUCCGCGCCGCAUUAGCUAGUUGGUAAGGUAACGGCUUACCAAGGCAACGAUGCGUAGCCGAACUGAGAGGGUGAUCGGCCACACUGGAACGGAGACACGGUCCAGACUCCUAAGGGAGGCAGCAGUAGGGAAUCUUCCGCAAUGGGCGAAAGCAUGACGGAGCAACGCCGCGUGAGUGAUGAAGGUCUUCGGAUCGUAAAACUCUGUUAUUAGGGAAGAACAAAUGUGUAAGUAAAUAUGCACGUCUUGACGGUACCUAAUCAGAAAGCCACGGCUAACUACGUG